AUGUCAUUGGUUACAGAUGUGAGAACACGUUUGGUCAACUGGAGAAAUGAUGGUUGGGAGCCACUCUUGGAAGAUGUCAAAGUGUUUUGCACCAAAAACGACAUUCCAAUACCAAGUAUGGAUGACAUCUUUACAAAGUGGGGUAAAUCAAGAAAAGGUGGACGAAACAAUGUGACGGCUGAUCAUUUUUUUCGUGUGGACACCUUCUAUGCUGCUAUAGACUCCAUCACCACGGAGUUUGAUCAUCGUUUUAAUGAGGUAUCUUCAGAGCUGCUCCAGAACUUCUCUUGUCUUGACCCAAGAAACUCGUUUUCUAGGUUCAACUUGAAUAAGCUUGCUAGGCUCACAGAGAUUUAUCAUGAUGAUUUCUCUGACUAUGAACGUGAACAUAUAGAAGAUAACCUUGAUCUAUUCAUUAUCCAUAUGAGAAGAAUUGAAGACUUUAGAGCUUGUCAUGAUAUUGCAAGCCUAGCUAAAAUGAUGGUUGAACUUGAAAGGCAUGUCAUGUUUCCUACUGUUUAUCGCCUCAUUGAAUUGGCAUUGCUACUACCGGUAGCGACGGCAACUGUUGAAAGGGCCUUCUCAUCAAUGAAAAUUAUCAAGACUGAGUUGCACAGCAAGAUGACCGAUGGUUGGCUUAAUGACUUGAUGGUUUGUUACAUUGAGCGAGAGAUCUUCAAAAGUAUAGAUCUUGGUAAAAUUAAGCAAGAUUUUCAGAAUGAAGGUAGGGCAUUGCCAUUGCCUGGGUCUUCUAGACGCCAUUGA
rnacentral:rRNA from 1 species